GUAAGCGGUAAUAUGUCAUGUAGCGAGAAAUGAUUAGAUAUGACAUAGAACACCUAGUGCGAAGUCAGCUUACUACGCAUAUAUUGACGCUGAGGCACGAAAGCGUGUGGAUCAAACAGGCUUAGGUACCUUGGUAGUCCCACGCCCUAAACUACGAUUACUCGACACUUGUGAUACUCAAUAAGUGUCUGAGACAAAGCAUUAAGUCAUCCACAGGGGAAGUACGUCCGCAAGGAUGAAACUCAAAGGACUUGUCGGGGGUCCGCACAAGCGCUGGAGCAUGUGGCUUAAUUUGAUGAUACGCGAGGAACCUUACGUGGGCUAGAAUGCUGAGAGACCGUGGGUGAAAGCCCAUUUUGUAGCAAUACACUGUCAGUAAGGUGCUGCAUGGCUGUCGUCAGCUCGUGCCGUGAGGUGUUGGGCUAAGUCCCGCAACGAGCGCAACCCCUAUCAUUAGUUGCCAACAGGUCAAGCCGGGAACUAUAAUGAAACUGCCGCCGUAGGGCGUGAGGAAGGAGGGGAUGAUGUCAAGUCAUCAUGGCCUUUAUGCCCAGGGCUACACACGUGCUACAAUGGACAGGACAAAGGGCUGCCACCUAGUGAUAGGGCGCUAAUCCCAAAAACCUGUUCUCAGUUCAGAUUGGAGUCUGCAACUCGACUCCAGGAAGCUGGAAUCGUUAGUAAUCGUAUAUCAGCAAUGAUACGGUGAAUACGUUCCCGUACCUUGCACACACCGCCCGUCAAGCCAUGGGAGCCGGGUGCACUUAAAGUCGGUAACCGCAAGGAGCUGCCUAGGGCGAAAUCGGUGACUGGGGUUAAGUCGUAACAAGG
rnacentral:rRNA from 1 species